UAUAAAUUAGUUUAAUUGAACUAUGGUUUUUGUAGCCAUGAGAAAUAGUAUAAUUCUAUUAUUUAUAA
rnacentral:tRNA from 1 species